rnacentral:rRNA from 1 species
AGCGGGAAAAGCUCAAAUUUAAAAUCUGGUGGUCUUUGGCCAUCCGAGUUGUAAUCUAGAGAAGUGUUACCCGCGUCGGACCGUGUACAAGUCUCCUGGAAUGGAGCGUCAUAGAGGGUGAGAAUCCCGUCUUUGACACGGACUACCGAGGCUUUGUGGUGCGCUCUCAACGAGUCGAGUUGUUUGGGAAUGCAGCUCAAAAUGGGUGGUAAAUUCCAUCUAAAGCUAAAUAUUGGCGAGAGACCGAUAGCGAACAAGUACCGUGAGGGAAAGAUGAAAAGAACUUUGGAAAGAGAGUUAAACAGUACGUGAAAUUGCUGAAAGGGAAACGCUUGAAGUCAGUCGCGUUGGCCGGAAAUCAGCCUUGCUUUUGCUGGGUGUACUUUCUGGUUGACGGGCCAGCAUCAGUUUUGACCGGUGGAAAAAGUUCAGAGGAAUGUGGCAUCUUCGGAUGUGUUAUAGCCUUUGGUCGUAUACAUCGGUUGGGACUGAGGAACUCAGCACGCCGAAAGGCCGGGUCUUUGACCACGUUCGUGCUUAGGAUGCUGGCAUAAUGGCUUUAAUCGACCCGUCUUGAAACACGGACCAAGGAGUCUAACAUGCCUGCGAGUGUUUGGGUGGAAAACCCGGACGCGUAAUGAAAGUGAAAGUUGAGAUCCCUGUCAUGGGGAGCAUCGACGCCCGGACCAGAAGUUCUCUGACGGCCCUGCGGUAGAGCAUGUAUGUUGGGACCCGAAAGAUGGUGAACUAUGCCUGAAUAGGGUGAAGCCAGA